rnacentral:lncRNA from 1 species
GCGGCAGAGCGAACGCACGAGAGUGCUCACACGGCACAACGAUGAUGCCGAAGACGAUGACUUUGUUGAUCAGCCUGGUGCUUGUGGUUUCAAGAACCGAUGCUAUGGAUCAGUCUCACAUCUACGAACGCUCUCUUUUUCAAAAGUUUCCGAAACACCUCUACGAUAUACAGCGUCCAGAUUUUCAGCAGCAAAGCAGUUCAUACAUGCAAGCGGAGCAUGCGUUCGUCCAGGAACCUGCGUUUAUGCAAGGAUAAGGCAGCACGUGCCUCAUCGUGUCGUUUCGGGCUACUUGAACACGUGUUUUGUGAAAAACAAUAAAGUGAGUC